CAAAUAGCAAAAAACGGAACCCUUAUAGAUUCGUCAUGUCUGUCUGUCUGUCCGUCUAUCCAUCUCCACUUUUCUCCGAAACUAUAAGAACUAUACUGUUGAAACUUGGUAAGUAGAUUUAUUCUGUGAACCGCAUUAAGAUUUUCACACAAAAAUAGAAAAAAAACAAUAAAUUUUUGGGGUUCCCGAUACUUCGAACUGAAACUCAAAUUUUUUUUUUUCAUCAAACCCAUACGUGUGGGGUAUCUAUGGUUAGGUCUUCAAAAAUGAUAUUGAGGUUUCUAAUAUCAUUUUUUUCUAAACUGAAUAGUUUGCGCGAGAGACACUUCCAAAGU